ACCGGUGAGCGAAUCCUCCAAUAAGCUCAAAUCUUGAAAUCUGGCACCUUCGGUGUCCGAGUUGUAAUUUGAAGAAGGUAACUUUGGAGUUGGCUCUUGUCUAUGUUCCUUGGAACAGGACGUCACAGAGGGUGAGAAUCCCGUGCGAUGAGAUGCCCAAUUCUAUGUAAAGUGCUUUCGAAGAGUCGAGUUGUUUGGGAAUGCAGCUCUAAGUGGGUGGUAAAUUCCAUCUAAAGCUAAAUAUUGGCGAGAGACCGAUAGCGAACAAGUACAGUGAUGGAAAGAUGAAAAGAACUUUGAAAAGAGAGUGAAAAAGUACGUGAAAUUGUUGAAAGGGAAGGGCUUGAGAUCAGACUUGGUAUUUUGCGAUCCUUUCCUUCUUGGUUGGGUUCCUCGCAGCUUACUGGGCCAGCAUCGGUUUGGAUGGUAGGAUAAUGACUAAGGAAUGUGGCUCUACUUCGGUGGAGUGUUAUAGCCUUGGUUGAUACUGCCUGUCUAGACCGAGGACUGCGUCUUUGACUAGGAUGCUGGCAUAAUGAUCUUAAGCCAC
rnacentral:rRNA from 1 species